GUUCUUGUAGCUUAUAAAA
rnacentral:tRNA from 2 species